AUGGAUGUAUACUGGUUUCUUCUCUUUAAUAGAUUGCAACAUGUUAAUAGAAGUGGAGCCCCAAAAAACUGUCUUUGAAGUUCACAUCUCAUAGCAAAACCCAACAACAACCACCUUCAUUCAUUCAUUUCAUGCAAAACCAUCUUUACCAUUAAAGUCAUAGUCUCAGAGGUAUAUAGGGGACCAUAUUCUUAAUCAUUAUUCAUGUAUCAAAAGAGUUAGUUCAAUUCCACUGCACCACUUGUGCCUUCAUAAAGUGGGAAAACAAUCUUACAUGACCCCCUUUCCUUUUCUUUAUAUUUGUUUCUUGUUUUCUCAACAUCACCUUCAGAUCUUCUAUUGGAUUUUUAAUUAUUCUUCUCGAUUUUUGGAUAUGCCUUUAGGGGAUGUCGUUUAAUUAUCCCCACUUAUAAUUUGUAAUGACUCUUUAGGUCAUUUUCCUGUAGUGCGUUAUUUUCAGCGUUAAGAGCUUUCCUAUAGCAAUCUCAAGUCAUUUAUAACAUGCUGAGAUCGACAGUUCGGUCACCUGGUCGUUCAUUUUUUUAAGCGAGUAUGAGCGUUUUGGAGCUUUUGAAACUUGACUUCAGUAAAAAAAUCAGGUAGACAACCUCAAUUUUGGUGGUUCUAUUAGCUCCGCAACAUCAAGUUUGGUCAAGAAGGAUCUUUGGUGCGCAUCCCAAGUCUUUCGGGCUCAUUUCAAGCUACCUUGUGGCUUUGGGCAAAAAUAGAGCCUCGGGUGUGAGACCCACUUCUUGUCGAACAUUGAGUUGCGUUUGAGGCUCGUAAUAGAGAUUUAGUGAUCACACUAGUCAUGCCUUUAUACCCCUGGAAAGGUAUAUCUGGUCCUCUCGAUUGGGCGUAUAAAUCGGACUCCAUGUUUAUCUCACGCGGUUUUAUGUCGAUUAAUAGUAGCUCCCGCAGUCAGACUAUAGUGCAUAUGACCAGGUUCAGGCCCUCAGUAUUGAAAUCAUGCGUAGAUCGGUUUCCGAUCCAUACUCAACAACAUUAGUGCGUGAGUCCUCAUACUUUGAGGACAAUAUAAAUGUUUUCAAAUUCAAUCUUUCAUAUAGUUCCAGUUUUGCUAGGGUUAGCUGGGGACAUGUCCCAACAACUUUAGUCAGUUAAAGACUUUUUCAGACAUAAUAUUAGAUUCAGUUUUAGCUUUGA